rnacentral:rRNA from 1 species
AAAAGAAACUAACUAGGAUUGGUCCAGUAACGGCGAGUGAAGCGCCAUUAGCCCAUUUGUGAAUCAUCACUGCUUGUUAGUGUUGAAUUGUGGUCACACAAAUAAUAUUCAAUCAAUUAUGGAUGAAGUCCCCUGGAACGGGGCAGCGAAGAGGGUGAGACUCCCGUCCGUCUAUAAGAAAUGCAAAUAUUAUUAUUUUUAGAGUCGAGUUGUUUGGGAUUGCAGCUCUAACUGGGUGGUAAAUUCCAUCCAAGGCUAAAUACUGGUGGGAGACCGAUAGCGUACAAGUACCGUGAGGGAAAGAUGCAAAGCCGCGCGAAAGCGCUGUCAAAGAGUACCUGAACUUGCUGAAAAGGAAGCGAAGGAAACCAGUGUUAGCCAACCCGCAUUUUCUCCUUUGCUUGCGAUGGAGGCGCUGCGGCUGGCCUAGUCCCUGUGUGCGCCGUGUUGUGGAAGUGUCACUGCGCUGUGCAUGUG